AUUGAACGCUGGCGGCAGGCCUAACACAUGCAAGUCGAACGAGUGGCGGACGGGUGAGUAAUGUCUGGGAAACUGCCCGAUGGAGGGGGAUAACUACUGGAAACGGUAGCUAAUACCGCAUACCAUCGGAUGUGCCCAGAUGGGAUUAGCUAGUAGGUGGGGUAACGGCGCACCUAGGCGACGAUCCCUAGCUGGUCUGAGAGGAUGACCAGCCACACUGGAACGGAGACACGGUCCAGCAUCCUACGUGAGGCAGAAGUGGGGAAUAUUGUGCAAUGGGCGCGAGCCUGAUGCAGCCAUGCAGCGUGUAUGAAGAAGGCCUUCGGGUUGUAAAGUACUUUCAGCGAGGAGGCGUUACUCGCAGAAGAAGCAUCGGCUAACUCCGUGCCAGCAGCCGCGGUAAUUC
rnacentral:rRNA from 1 species